UACGAAGGGGGCUAGCGUUGUUCGGAAUCACUGGGCGUAAAGCGCACGUAGGCGGCUUGGUAAGUCAGGGGUGAAAUCCUGGAGCUCAACUCCAGAACUGCCUUUGAAACUACAUCGCUAGAAUCAUGGAGAGGUUAGUGGAAUUCCGAGUGUAGAGGUGAAAUUCGUAGAUAUUCGGAAGAACACCAGUGGCGAAGGCGACUAACUGGACAUGUAUUGACGCUGAGGUGCGAAAGCGUGGGGAGCAAACAGG
rnacentral:rRNA from 1 species